UACGAACUGUGCAAACGUUAUUCGGAUUCACUGGGCUUAAAGGGUGCGUAGGCGGCUUGCCAAGUAGGGUGUGAAAGCCCCCGGCUUAACCGGGGAAUUGCGCCCUAAACUGGCGAGCUGGAGUGAGAUAGGGGUGUGUGGAACUUCCGGUGGAGCGGUGAAAUGUGUUGAUAUCGGAAGGAACGCCGGUGGCGAAAGCGACACACUGGGUCUCAACUGACGCUGAGGCACGAAAGCCAGGGGAGCAAACGGG
rnacentral:rRNA from 1 species